rnacentral:rRNA from 1 species
UACGUAGGGGGGCAAGCGUUGUCCGGAUUUAUUGGGGCGUAAAGAGCUCGUAGGCGGCUCGGUAAGUGAGGUGUGAAAACUCCAGGCUCAACCUGGAGACGCCACCUCAUGCUGCCGUGGCUAGAGUCCGGUAGGGGAGCAUGGAAUUCCUGGUGUAGCGGUGAAAUGCGCAGAUAUCAGGAGGAACACCAGUGGCGAAGGCGGUGCUCUGGGCCGGAACUGACGCUGAGGAGCGAAAGCGUGGGGAGCAAACAGG